GGCAACGUGGCGGAGUGGUUAUCGCGACAGCCUCGAAUUACCGUAAGCUGUUUCCUUCGGGAGCGCAGGUUCGAAUCCUGCCGUUGUCG
rfam:Fusarium oxysporum Fo5176 contig02412, whole genome shotgun sequence.